rnacentral:rRNA from 1 species
AGAAUCAACGCUGGCGGCGUGCCUAACACAUGCAAGUCGAACGAGAAAGGGUAGCAAUACCUGAGUAAAGUGGCGCACGGGUGAGUAACACGUGACUAACCUACCCUGGAGUGGGGGAUAACUGAGGGAAACCUUAGCUAAUACCGCAUAAUACCUACGGGUCAAAGGAGCAAUUCGCUUCAGGAGGGGGUCGCGGCCGAUUAGUUAGUUGGCGGGGUAAUGGCCCACCAAGACGAUGAUCGGUAUCCGGCCUGAGAGGGCGCACGGACACACUGGAACUGAAACACGGUCCAGACUCCUACGGGAGGCAGCAGUGGGGAAUUUUGCGCAAUGGGGGAAACCCUGACGCAGCAACGCCGCGUGGAGGAUGAAGUCCUUCGGGACGUAAACUCCUUUCGAUCGGGACGAUUAUGACGGUACCGGAAGAAGAAGCCCCGGCUAACUUCGUGCCAGCAGCCGC